rnacentral:rRNA from 1 species
GACGAACGCUGGCGGCGUGCUUUACACAUGCAAGUCGAACGGUGAAGGUGGAGCUUGCUCCGCCGGAUCAGUGGCGAACGGGUGAGUAACACGUGGGCAACCUGCCCCUAACUUUGGGAUAACUACUCGAAAGAGUAGCUAAUACCGUAUACGAAGUCUGUAGGCAUCUACGGAUUUGGAAAGUUUUUCGGUUAGGGAUGGGCCCGCGGCCUAUCAGCUUGUUGGUGGGGUAGUGGCUCACCAAGGCGACGACGGGUAGCCGGGCUGAGAGGGCGGCCGGCCACACUGGGACUGAGACACGGCCCAGACUCCUACGGGAGGCAGCAGUGGGUAAUAUUGGGCAAUGGGCGAAAGCCUGACGCAGCAACGCCGCGUGCGGGAUGAAGGCCUUCGGGUUGUAAACCGCUUUCAGCAGGGAAGAAGCGAAAGUGACGGUACCUGCAGAAGAAGCACCGGCUAACUACGUGCCAGCCGCCGCCGUAA